UCCGUAGGUGAACCUGCGGAAGGAUCAUUACAGAAAGUAAACGCGGAUCAAACCGCGAACUUCUAAACCUUUGACGAUUGACUCAUGUUGCCUCGGCGGGUUCUCCCGCCAGAGGAUACGUCAAAACUCCUGUUUUAACGGUGUUGUCUGAGCUACAAGCAACGAAUCAAAACUUUCAACAACGGAUCUCUUGGUUCUGGCAUCGAUGAAGAACGCAGCGAAAUGCGAUAAGUAGUGUGAAUUGCAGAAUUCAGUGAAUCAUCGAAUCUUUGAACGCACAUUGCGCCCCUUGGUAUCCCGAGGGGCAUGCCUGUUCGAGCGUCAUUUCACCACUCAAGCCUGGCUUGGUGUUGGGCGACGUCCCCUUUGGGGACGCGCCUCGAAACGCUCGGUGGCGUGGCACCGGCUUUAAGCGUAGCAGAAUCUUUCGCUUCAAAAGUCGGGGCCCCGUCUGCCGGAAGACCUACUCGCAAGGUGACCUCGGAUCAGGCA
rnacentral:rRNA from 1 species